UUGAUAAACAAAUAAGAUCGAAUCCUGGAAUCUCAACCACACCUGCCGUCAGAAAUUAAUACGUAUAAAUAGUUUAACGUGUUCAUCUCCGCCCUGACUAUACACGGAGACCUGAUCAUAGGAGAUUCACGUUGUCAAAAUUAUAUCAAGACUUCGUUACAGAAAAUGGUUAACGUGCAGGCCUACGUUUUAAUGUUGGUGAUGUUGACAUUACUUCCAGAAGUUACCAGCACCAUAGUAAAUGUCAAUGUGCUAUCAAGAACUGAAGGCGGUAUUCCAGAUAGAGUGCAACUGACCUACACAAAAGGCUCCACAGCAGUUGAGCUCAAUUUGGAGCACGUCCCACACGCCACACUGAACGUUCCAGUCCACACAGUGAAAACACUGGACAGUGGUCAAGCUAGAGUCGAACAGGAGUUACUUCCACCUAGUCAGGAUAUUCAUUACUAUCAGGAUACCGUCAAUGGAGCAGCAGUGCAAAUUAACGAAAUCAAAUUGUUCGAUCAACAGAAAUCAACAUUUUCAGUGAAAGGUCACUUCCAUCACAAUGGAGAACUGCACUCCAUUGCACCUGCUCAAAGAUUUAGACGGCAAUCUUCUCCUGUGGCCAAUGUACGGCAUGUAAUCAAGAAGGCAACUCUUACAAAUAUGUCUGGGAGGGAGAUCGUGCUUCAAGGUGCAUUACUUGAAAGAGAGGCCAGACAAAGUUCUAAAUCCUUAGAAAAGGUUAUGAUCGAUGUCCUAGCUGUGGUAGAUCACAGCGCCUUCAGACGUUUUGAGAGACAAUGUCAUCACGAUAGGAACCUGACCUUGCAGAAGAUUAGGGAGCACUACACAUUUAUAGUCAACGGGGUGGACCUCAUGUAUCGCAGAAUCAAUUCAACUCUGGUCGACAUACGAGUUAAAUUGGUCAAAAUUAUCAUUAUUGAGAACUAUCAUGACUUCUCUUUGCCAUUCCCACACCACAAUGAUUCCAAACAAGUUGAAGGUUUUGAUGUUUUGAAGAAGUUGUCUCACUUUGUGAAGUCCUACAACUUGACGGAGCACAGCGAUCACGUCAUGAUGUUUGUCGGUAGAGAACUUUCAGGCGACGGUUCACCAGGUCUUUUAGGAAUUAGUUGGCUUAGUUCAAUGUGUAGUACUAAUGGUAGCAGUGUUAGUGUCGUAGAAGAUGUACAUGACUAUGACGUGAUAUUGACUGCAGCUCACGAGCUUGGACACAGUUUAUCUGCACAACACGAUCAUUGGCUUACGAAUGACUGUUUUGGAUUGGACUACUUUAUCAUGGCACCCUAUGAAAGUAGCGCCACCACUGCUGAGUCGAACCGAUUCAAUCCUUGGAUAUUUUCUGAUUGCAGUAUACAAUAUUUUGCAACAUUUAUAUCAUCCUUAUUGGAAACAGAUCAUGGUAGAACUUGUCUCACUGAGUCAGUCUCAGUCAGUCCAGAUAUUCCGGAUUUAAAAGACAAGUACUUCGGACAAGUAAUGCCCCCUGAACAGCAAUGUCGGAAUACGUAUGGCAAAGGUUCUUAUCACUGCAAAGUGGGCUAUAACAGCACAGAGAUAUGCAUUGCUUUGUACUGCUACGAUCCAAACCAAAUGGAUUGUUUCCCCCAGAGAGCUCUCAGCGGUACAGAAUGUGACAAAGGAAAGAUUUGUCGACUGGGACAUUGUGCCGAUAAUGACCACAACGUCUAGAAACCUGUCGUCCUUAAAACUAGGUCACUGAAUCUUUUCGCUCUACUAAACUAUUUUAUAUUUCAAUAACGUUACAACGAACAAAUAUCACAGUGUUUUCGGGUAUUCCCAUAAUGUAAAAAAAAAAACAACAGGCUGACUGCCACGUAAAAGAUUUCCACUUUUUGAGGAAUGUAUUUCCAUGUCUCACGUCAUCUCCCAUUCACGGAACUAGUCAAUCGGUGCCACACCUACAUUAUUAGUCUUAGUUUGAAAUAUCGAAAGUUGUUAGGUUCAUUAUAUGUCAUUUUAUUAUUCUUUUAUAUACAUUCCACUCAUGUUGUUGUACAAAUUAUUUACACCUGCUUUGGGGAUAUUUACCCCAACGCUGUGUUGAUGAUACCAUGAUCCUCUCAAGUUUAGGCUUGUGUAGAAAAAUACUUUUUUUUUUUGGGGGGGGGGGGGGUCUGACACUAAGUAUCCAGACAUAUAAAAUUGACCUGAUUAUUUGUACAAGAAUGAAACAUGAUAGGAACUAAAAGUCAAGUUGAAGGUCUUUUACGAAAUGUUUUUAAGCAAUUCCUGCCAAUAAAUCACUAGGCUCUCUUCAAACAUGUUGCGGUUUGGUUGACAGAAUGUCAGACUGUAGAAUGGUCUGUUUAAAACUUGAGUGUGUUCCACAAUAGAAAUAGACGAACUAGAGGACACUGGAAAGUAUUAAUGGUUGUAUUGGAGGAGAAGAAGUGUUAGCUCACAUUGUUUCCAUUGAAGGUUUUCUAUUUAAUAGAGAUGUGCUGCUUAAGUAUUGAGUUCAGCAAGACUUAGGUGACGUCAUCAAGCCUUGGAAUGACAUUAAUUUCAUUUUUCACUUCAUUUUAAUACGACUGUGUUUUUGUAUGUGAUUUUUUAAUUCAAUCAAAUGAUUUUCUAAGUAGCAUCGUUGUGUAACAAACAAACACACAGAUUGCUCUACAUUUCUCAAUCUCUCACAAAACAUAUCAUACAGGCAAGUUUAAGAACUAGGUCUAAGUCAGGAACAGUUCUGAACAAUCCAAUGUUACAUUGUGUCUAGUUCUGAACAAUCCAAUGUUAGAUUGUGUCUAGUUCUGAACAAUCCAAUGUUACAUUGUGUCUAGUUCUGAACAAUCCAAUGUUAGAUUGUGUCUAGUUCUGAACAAUCCAAUGUUAGAUUGUGUCUAGUUCUGAACAAUCCAAUGUUACAUUGUGUCUAGUUCUGAACAAUCCAAUGUUAGAUUGUGUCUAGUUCUGAACAAUCCAAUGUUACAUUGUGUCUAGUUCUGAACAAUCCAAUGUUAGAUUGUGUCUAGUUCUGAACAAUCCAAUGUUACAUUUUGUUAUUGUGAAUACAAUUUUGUAUUUGUCCAA